GAUGAACGCUGGCGGCGUGCCUAAUACAUGCAAGUCGAGCGAACAGAUGAGGAGCUUGCUCCUCUGACGUUAGCGGCGGACGGGUGAGUAACACGUGGAUAACCUACCUAUAAGACUGGGAUAACUUCGGGAAACCGGGGCUAAUACCGGAUAAUAUAUUGAACCGCAUGGUUCAAUAGUGAAAGACGGUUUUGCUGUCACUUAUAGAUGGAUCCGCGCCGCAUUAGCUAGUUGGUAAGGUAACGGCUUACCAAGGCAACGAUGCGUAGCCGACCUGAGAGGGUGAUCGGCCACACUGGAACUGAGACACGGUCCAGACUCCUACGGGAGGCAGCAGUAGGGAAUCUUCCGCAAAGGGCGAAAGCCUGACGGAGCAACGCCGCGUGAGUGAUGAAGGUCUUCGGAUCGUAAAACUCUGUUAUUAGGGAAGCACAAAUGUGUAAGUAACUAUGCACGUCUUGACGGUACCUAAUCAGAAAGCCACGGCUAACUACGUG
rnacentral:rRNA from 1 species